rnacentral:rRNA from 1 species
UACGUAGGGUGCGAGCGUUGUCCGGAAUUACUGGGCGUAAAGAGCUCGUAGGCGGUUUGUCGCGUCGUCCGUGAAAACUUGGGGCUCAACCCCAAGCUUGCGGGCGAUACGGGCAGACUUGAGUACUGCAGGGGAGACUGGAAUUCCUGGUGUAGCGGUGGAAUGCGUAGAGAUCCGGAAGAACACCGGUGGCGAAGGCGGUUAGCUGGGCAGUUGCUGACACUGAGGCGCGACAGCGUGGGGAGCAACAGG